rnacentral:ncRNA from 1 species
AAAAUCUUUAUGUAUAUAUGAUAAACUACGCAAAGGUAUAAGCAUGCCAGACUGUGAGAUAGAUAUAUCGAACAGGUACGUAAGUAGGACUUAGUGGACCGAUGCUUCUUUAUGGAAAGAAUAUCGAUCAAGAAAUAAAAGUUACGCUAGGGAUAACAGGGUAAUAGCUCUCGAGAGUUCAUAUUGUCAGAGCUGUUUGCCACCUCGAUGUCGACUCACCUUCACCUCUUGGUGCACAAGCUAAGAAGGGUUCUGCUGUUCGCAGAUUAAAAAGGUACGCGAGUUGGGUUCAAUACGAUGUGAGUCAGUAUGGUUCCUAUCUUCCACACCAAUAAAUAGUCAAGUUUAAACGGAUCUCCAGUACGAAAGGACCUAGAUCCGCGUUUCUAUGGUGUACCAAUUGUUCUUAGGCGCCAUGUUAAUUCGUGGUAACCCUUAUUUCGGGCACCGUUGGGUAGCUAUAAACGUUUAGGAUAAAAGCUGAAAGCAUAUUAAGCUAUUGAAGUCCAAUAAAGGCGACUAUA